UACGGAGGAUGCGAGCGUUAUCCGGAUUUAUUGGGUUUAAAGGGUGCGUAGGCGGAAAAAUAAGUCAGUGGUGAAAACCUUCAGCUUAACUGGAGACUUGCCAUUGAUACUGUUAUUCUUGAGUAUAGUUAAGGUAGGCGGAAUGUGUAAUGUAGCGGUGAAAUGCUUAGAUAUUACACAGAACACCAAUUGCGAAGGCAGCUUACUGAGCUAUAACUGACGCUGAUGCACGAAAGCGUGGGGAGCGAACAGG
rnacentral:rRNA from 1 species